rnacentral:rRNA from 1 species
GACGAACCGUACGAACGUUAUUCGGAAUCACUGGGCUUAAAGGGUGCGUAGGCGGCGCGACAAGUUGGGUGUGAAAUCCCUCGGCUCAACCGAGGAACUGCGCCCAAAACUGUCGUGCUCGAGGGAGACAGAGGUGAGCGGAACUUAGGGUGGAGCGGUGAAAUGCGUUGAUAUCCUAAGGAACACCGGUGGCGAAAGCGGCUCACUGGGUCUCGUUCUGACGCUGAGGCACGAAAGCUAGGGUAGCGAACGGG